UAUAACACAGUUAUAUAUGUAUGAUUUUAUACAAGUAUAUUUAAAUGGCGACAUCAGGAACAGGCCAGAUAAGACCAUAGCCCUACAGUUGAGCAAAGACCAAUUAUCAGAAGAAGCUUAAGAGUGUAGGAAUAAGAACUACAAAUAUUACAAAGAACACCGCACUAGGAAGAAUUCACGACUAAAUACAAAUGAGGACCUUAUGCAUCAUCUUCUUGUCUUCUAACCCCUAUAUAUCAAGUUUGAAAAACCUACCGAAA
rnacentral:misc_RNA from 1 species